UACCCUACGCUGCCGAUUUACA
rnacentral:miRNA from 1 species